GAUGAACGCUAGCUACAGGCUUAACACAUGCAAGUCGAGGGGCAGCAUGAACUUAGCUUGCUAAGUUUGAUGGCGACCGGCGCACGGGUGAGUAACGCGUAUCCAACCUUCCGUACACUCAGGGAUAGCCUUUCGAAAGAAAGAUUAAUACCUGAUGGUAUGAUGAGAUCGCAUGGUAUCAUCAUUAAAGAUUUAUCGGUGUACGAUGGGGAUGCGUUCCAUUAGGUAGUAGGCGGGGUAACGGCCCACCUAGCCUACGAUGGAUAGGGGUUCUGAGAGGAAGGUCCCCCACAUUGGAACUGAGACACGGUCCAAACUCCUACGGGAGGCAGCAGUGAGGAAUAUUGGUCAAUGGACGAGAGUCUGAACCAGCCAAGUAGCGUGAAGGAUGAAGGUCCUACGGAUUGUAAACUUCUUUUAUAAGGGAAUAAAAACCUCCCACGUGUGGGAGCUUGUAUGUACCUUAUGAAUAAGCAUUGGCUAAACUCCGUGCCAGCAG
rnacentral:rRNA from 1 species